UUUAUCCCAAAGUGUUCGUGCUACUUUGUUUUUGAACCUACAUCAAUAUUCAGGGAGUCUGAUUGUUCAGAAGCAGAUGUUAGGCCUCGUUUUAUCAGUGGAAAACAGAAACUGAUGACAAGACACCCACCUAGAUUUCGCUAGGGCGUCAAAAAUGAAGAACGGCACAUUGGGAUAGCA
rnacentral:other from 1 species